rnacentral:rRNA from 1 species
UGUUUCGGCUAGGGGGCCAUCCCGGCUUACCAACCCGAUGCAAACUGCGAAUACCGGAGAAUGUUAUCACGGGAGACACACGGCGGGUGCUAACGUCCGUCGUGAAGAGGGAAACAACCCAGACCGCCAGCUAAGGUCCCAAAGUCAUGGUUAAGUGGGAAACGAUGUGGGAAGGCCCAGACAGCCAGGAUGUUGGCUUAGAAGCAGCCAUCAUUUAAAGAAAGCGUAAUAGCUCACUGGUCGAGUCGGCCUGCGCGGAAGAUGUAACGGGGCUAAACCAUGCACCGAAGCUGCGGCAGCGACACUCAGGUGUUGUUGGGUAGGGGAGCGUUCUGUAAGCCUGUGAAGGUGGCCUGUGAGGGUUGCUGGAGGUAUCAGAAGUGCGAAUGCUG